rnacentral:rRNA from 1 species
CCUACGGGAGGCAGCAGUGGGGAAUCUUGGGCAAUGGAGGCAACUCUUACCCAGCAAUGCCGCGUGAAUGAAGAAGGUCUUCGGAUUGUAAAGUUCUUUAAUUGGGGACGAAAAAACUGACGGUACCCAAGGAAUAAGCCCCGGCUAACUACGUGCCAGCAGCCGCGUUAAUACGUAGGGGCCAACCGUUGUUUGGAAUGACUGGGCGGAAAGGGCGUGUAGGCGGUGUAGCAAGUUAGAAGGGAAAGGCCUAGGGCUUAACUGAGGUGCUGCUUCUAAAACUGCUAUACUUGAGUGCAGUAGAGGAGAGUGGAAUUCCUAGUGUAGCGGUGGAAUGCGUAGAUAUUAGGAGGAACAUCAGUGGCGAAGGCGACUUUCUGGACUGUAACUGACGCUGAGGCACGAAAGUGUGGGGAGCAAACAGGAUUAGAUACCCGAGUAGUC